rnacentral:rRNA from 1 species
UCCGGUUGAUCCUGCCGGACCCGACUGCUAUCGGGGUGGCGCUAAGCCAUGGGAGUCGCACAUCCCACCGCCGUGGGAUGUGGCGAACGGCUGAGUAACACGUGGCUAACCUACCCUCGGGACGGGGACAACUCCGGGAAACUGGAGCUUAUCCCCGAUAGGCGGGGAGUCCUGGAACGGUUCUCCGCCCAAAGGGAUAGAAGGGGGUUAUCGCCUUCUAUCCGCCCGAGGAUGGGGCUGCGUCCCAUCAGGUUGUUGGCGGGGUAACGGCCCGCCAAGCCUAUAACGGGUAGGGGCCGUGAGAGCGGGAGCCCCCAGAUGGGCACUGAGACAAGGGCCCAGGCCCUACGGGGCGCACCAGGCGGGAAACCUCCGCAAUGCGGUAACCCGUGACGGGGUCACCCCGAGUGCUCCCCUUAUGGGGAGCUUUUCCCCGCUGCAGGAAGGCGGGGGUAAUAAGUGGGGGGCAAGACUGGUGUCAGCCGCCGCGGUAAUACCAGCCCCACGAGUGGUCGGGACGGUUAUUGGGCCUAAAGCGCCCGUAGCCGGCCCAGCAAGUUCCUGCCUAAAUCACCGGGCUCAACCCGGUGACUGGUGGGAAUACUGCUGGGCUAGGAGGCGGGAGAGGCCGGGGGUACUCCUAGGGUAGGGGCGAAAUCCUAUAAUCCUAGGAGGACCACCAGUGGCGAAGGCGCCCGGCUGGAACGCGCUCGACGGUGAGGGGCGAAAGCUGGGGGAGCAAACCGGAUUAGAUACCCGGGUAGUCCCAGCUGUAAACGAUGCGGACUAGGUGUUGGACAGACCUAGGGUCCGUCCAGUGCCGCAGGGAAGCCGUUAAGUCCGCCGCCUGGGGAGUACGGCCGCAAGGCUGAAACUUAAAGGAAUUGGCGGGGGAGCACCACAAGGGGUGGAGCCUGCGGCUUAAUUGGAGUCAACGCCGGG